GGUGUAUAUAAGUUUAUAUAAUUUAUCAAAUUGCAAUUGUAAGCCAAACUAUCAGUAUUUAUUUCAAAGUGUAAUCCAAAAUUAAAAUGACAAAUGUAGGGCUCUGUAAGUAGUUUCUACUGUGAGUUCUACUGUACUGUAAUUCUACUACUGUAUAUUCAACUUUUUACUUGUAAUUUCCAGCAAAAUGAGUGGAUAUGAAAGUUUAAUGACAGGAAAGAAGGAGCAGUGAGAGCGGAGAUCUCUCCGAAUUCUGAAAACAGAUCGAUGAAGUUGUGGUAACUUCAAUUCCAAAAACUUGGUUUCUUCUCAAACUUGGUUUAUCUCAAACUUGGUUUAUCUCAAACUUGGUUUAUCUCAAACUUGGUUUAUCUCAAACUUGGUUUCAGGCAAACUUGUUUUGCUUUUCAACUCAGGUUCAAGCUUGUCAACUUAGAUAGAGCUCAUGGCGGAGAAAUGAUAGAAGAUAGAAUGGCUUGUCAAAAAGAUGGAGCAGGGAGAGGGAGAGUGAUAGGACAGACUGAAUUGCUUGUUAAUGAUAGAGGGAGAGGGUUUUCUGCAGCAGGUCACCUGUAAGACAGAAAGAAAGUGGAAUUAGACACACUUCCAAUAAACCUGGCUUUACUGUAUUUUUCAGACUAUAAGGCACAUUUAAAAGCCUUUAAUUUUCUCAAAAAUAGACAGUGCACCUUAUGUAUGGUUGUGUUUACUGAUUUCAAACCAAUUCUAUGUGGUACACGGCACUCACGGCAUCUGUCAAAUGUUUUAGUAUGACUUUGGUAAGCUACAAAGCAGCACCACUUGAUGUAUUGUCGGAGCAUGGCUACCAUAGUCAGCACCCUCGUAGAGUAAUUCGUACUGUGCUUCAACAUAAUAUGGUGUGUGUGUGUAUAAGGGCCUGGCACCUGUUGAGAGCCAUGCUUAUGAAGCAGAUUUCAAACUGAUCAAUCCACAUUCAUCAAUACACAAAUCCUGAAAAGUGAGUGAAUUGUUCUGUAUUUUAUGUCUUACAACUGAACAAUUUUGAGAGUUAUUGUAAAUGAGUUGAAUAAAGUUUGACUUAUCUGUUUUGUU
ensembl:lncRNA